UGAAGCCCAGGCCUAUUUCUUGGAAGUCUUUAGCAUUCACAUUUGCUAUCUGAGGAGGUUUACUGCCUGGAGUGAAGUAUUCAAAAUAGAAAAGACAGAGAAGCUAGAGAAGGAACAGCAGUGAAGCAUCAACAAGCCUUUACUGGGGGACCAUUUUCCCUCACAACACAUUUGGAGAGCCUGAAACUGACAAAGACUACCUGGGUCAGUGGCUGUUGAUUUAUUCUGGUUUCAGUCAUUACUGAUAUCUGUCCAGAAGAACUAGAAAAAAAUAAUUCAAGUUGUGGGUGAGAUAGUGUUCCAACUCUGCCAAAUUUAACUUUUCAUCACCAUUGACCCAGAGAGGGACAUAAAAAAGGCCAUUGCAAAUUAUGUGAAAGAAUUUUCUCCCAAACUGGUUGGCCUGAUUGGCACGAAAGAAGAGAUCAAUCACGUGGCCAGAGCAUACAGAGUAUAUUACAGCUCUAGCCCCAAGGAUGAAGAUGAAGACCAUGUUAGUGAAUCAUACAAUAACAAUGUCUUUGAUUGGGCCAGAUGGUGAGUUUCCAGAUUAUUUUGGCCAGACCAGGAAGAAUGCAGAAAUUGUUAGCCAGUUCAAUUGCUGCACACAUGAGGGCACACAGGAAAAAAGAGC
rnacentral:lncRNA from 1 species